rnacentral:rRNA from 1 species
GGGAGGUAGUGACAAUAAAUAACAAUACAGGGCUCUUACGGGUCUUGUAAUUGGAAUGAGUACAAUUUAAAUCUCUUAACGAGGAACAAUUGGAGGGCAAGUCUGGUGCCAGCAGCCGCGGUAAUUCCAGCUCCAAUAGCGUAUAUUAAAGUUGUUGCAGUUAAAAAGCUCGUAGUUGAAUUUCGGGAUUCUUCCGUUGGUCAGGCUAACCAGUCUGUACUAGCGUGUAGAAUUCCUGCCUUCUGGGGAACCAUCGUGUUAUUAAUUUAGCGUGGUGGGAAACCAGGACCUUUACCUUGAAAAAAAUUAGAGUGUUCAAAGCAGGCUUACGUCUGAAUACAUUAGCAUGGAAUAAUAAAAUAGGACGGUGGUCCUGUUUUGUUGGUUUCUGAAUCACCGUAAUGAUUAAUAGGGAUAGUUGGG